CUCAGCCCAGCUGCGGUUGGCAAUCUCCUCGUACUGCGCCUUGACCUCAGCGAUGAUGCUGUCCACGUCCAGAGAGCCGCUGUUGUCCAUGGACAGCACCACAGACACGUUGGAGAUCUGGGACUGCAGCUCCCGGA
rnacentral:miRNA from 1 species